UGUAUCACACGAUCUUCAGCGCCGACCGGCGCGGAACGCUCCACUAAACCUAAGUAUAGCCAAUAGCCAUUGGUUAUAAAUACUACUAAUACUAGUAUUUAUAACCAAUGGUAUAGCUAUGGAAUUGAACUCGCCAUCCCAAAAGCACUGACUGUUCCCGUUUGUACACGCAGUCUGCAGCCGUCACCGUCAUUGCUAUAUUCCUAAUUAUUCUGAAACACUAGCCGUAGGUAGGUAUCGAGGCACGAGAUCACUAAGACGGAAAAUUAAGUGGUCCAUCUGAUCACCGACGCCAUGGCAGUAUAGCAGAUCACUCAAGGCUUGCUGAGACAUGACUUCGCAUUCAUACCACUUGGGAAAGUUACAUUGAAAAUUAACUGGAAGAUACUGAUAAUUAUAUAGGUUUUAUGCAAUAUGGCAGUACAUAGAUCACUCGAUGCAUGCUGAGACAUGAAUUCACAUUUCUACCACUUCGGAAAGUAUCAAUAUCCUACAUGUAAAAUGGACUAGAAGAUACUGAAAAUAUUAAUGGUUUUA